rnacentral:rRNA from 1 species
GAGGAAUAUUGGUCAAUGGACGAGAGUCUGAACCAGCCAAGUAGCGUGAAGGAUGACUGCCCUAUGGGUUGUAAACUUCUUUUAUACGGGAAUAAAGUGAGCCACGUGUGGCUUUUUGUAUGUACCGUAUGAAUAAGGAUCGGCUAACUCCGUGCCAGCAGCCGCGGUAAUACGGAGGAUCCGAGCGUUAUCCGGAUUUAUUGGGUUUAAAGGGAGCGUAGGCGGGUUGUUAAGUCAGUUGUGAAAGUUUGCGGCUCAACCGUAAAACUGCAGUUGAUACUGGCGACCUUGAGUGCAACAGAGGUAGGCGGAAUUCGUGGUGUAGCGGUGAAAUGCUUAGAUAUCACGAAGAACUCCGAUUGCGAAGGCAGCUUACUGGAUUGUAACUGACGCUGAUGCUCGAAAGUGUGGGUAUCAAAC